UUUAUGGAGAGUUUGAUCCUGGCUCAGGAUGAACGCUGGCGGCGUGCCUAAUACAUGCAAGUCGAGCGAACGGACGAGAAGCUUGCUUCUCUGAUGUUAGCGGCGGACGGGUGAGUAACACGUGGAUAACCUACCUAUAAGACUGGGAUAACUUCGGGAAACCGGAGCUAAUACCGGAUAAUAUUUUGAACCGCAUGGUUCAAAAGUGAAAGACGGUCUUGCUGUCACUUAUAGAUGGAUCCGCGCUGCAUUAGCUAGUUGGUAAGGUAACGGCUUACCAAGGCAACGAUGCAUAGCCGACCUGAGAGGGUGAUCGGCCACACUGGAACUGAGACACGGUCCAGACUCCUACGGGAGGCAGCAGUAGGGAAUCUUCCGCAAUGGGCGAAAGCCUGACGGAGCAACGCCGCGUGAGUGAUGAAGGUCUUCGGAUCGUAAAACUCUGUUAUUAGGGAAGAACAUAUGUGUAAGUAACUGUGCACAUCUUGACGGUACCUAAUCAGAAAGCCACGGCUAACUACGUGCCAGCAGCCGCGGUAAUACGUAGGUGGCAAGCGUUAUCCGGAAUUAUUGGGCGUAAAGCGCGCGUAGGCGGUUUUUUAAGUCUGAUGUGAAAGCCCACGGCUCAACCGUGGAGGGUCAUUGGAAACUGGAAAACUUGAGUGCAGAAGAGGAAAGUGGAAUUCCAUGUGUAGCGGUGAAAUGCGCAGAGAUAUGGAGGAACACCAGUGGCGAAGGCGACUUUCUGGUCUGUAACUGACGCUGAUGUGCGAAAGCGUGGGGAUCAAACAGGAUUAGAUACCCUGGUAGUCCACGCCGUAAACGAUGAGUGCUAAGUGUUAGGGGGUUUCCGCCCCUUAGUGCUGCAGCUAACGCAUUAAGCACUCCGCCUGGGGAGUACGACCGCAAGGUUGAAACUCAAAGGAAUUGACGGGGACCCGCACAAGCGGUGGAGCAUGUGGUUUAAUUCGAAGCAACGCGAAGAACCUUACCAAAUCUUGACAUCCUUUGACAACUCUAGAGAUAGAGCCUUCCCCUUCGGGGGACAAAGUGACAGGUGGUGCAUGGUUGUCGUCAGCUCGUGUCGUGAGAUGUUGGGUUAAGUCCCGCAACGAGCGCAACCCUUAAGCUUAGUUGCCAUCAUUAAGUUGGGCACUCUAAGUUGACUGCCGGUGACAAACCGGAGGAAGGUGGGGAUGCCGU
rnacentral:rRNA from 1 species